UGGGGAAUAUUGCACAAUGGGCGCAAGCCUGAUGCAGCAACGCCGCGUGAACGAUGAAGGUCUUCGGAUCGUAAAGUUCUGUUGCAGGGGAAGAUAAUGACGGUACCCUGUGAGGAAGCCCCGGCUAACUACGUGCCAGCAGCCGCGGUAAUACGUAGGGGGCUAGCGUUAUCCGGAUUUACUGGGCGUAAAGGGUGCGUAGGUGGUCUUUCAAGUCGGUGGUUAAAGGCUACGGCUCAACCGUAGUUAGCCUCCGAAACUGGAAGACUUGAGUGCAGGAGAGGAAAGUGGAAUUCCCAGUGUAGCGGUGAAAUGCGUAGAUAUUGGGAGGAACACCAGUAGCAAAGGCGGCUUUCUGGACUGCAACUGACACUGAGGCACGAAAGCGUGGGUAGCAAACAGG
rnacentral:rRNA from 1 species